AUCUAUUGAUAUUUAAACAUGUGUUUUGGUGUAAUUCGUAGAAUUGGACAUAAUGAAGUUAGUCAUAGAAAGGAGCUAUUGCUGGUAUACAAAAGACGGCGGCGAAAACUAAUAUAUUAAAUCAAUUUCAGUCAUCGAACAGCUUUAAGCACUCAAUGCAGGCCAUCACAGGGUUUGUCUUCAUCAUCCUGGUCGCUUGUACCAGUCAUAGGGUAACCAGAACAGUGGCCAAGGUAGAGGCCCAUGAAACCGGAAGAAUUUGCAUCCACAUCGACACCAAUCGCUGAAGCUGAAUCCUCUACAACUUCAGCGCUUACCAAAUCGAGAUAAGCGUAUAAACGCCAAAAGCAUAUACUAACACAUUGAAGACAUGUAGUAUCGAAUGAUUUUGAGGCAUAAUAAACGAAUAAUAAUAA
rnacentral:sRNA from 1 species